GCAGACACUCUAAACGUUCCCGUUCAGGUAGACAAGGUGCAUCUUCUUCUGCUCCUCCACCUCCAAAUUUCCCUUAUCAAGAUGAGUCUAUUUUACAAUUCAAUACUGAAACCGAGCUUACUAGAUUUUAGACAAAAUUCGAAAAGCGUGACAUUCUUCCUCCUCGCUUUUCAACAAGCAAGUAUCUUGAAUCAUAUGC
rnacentral:lncRNA from 1 species